UACGUAGGUGGCAAGCGUUAUCCGGAUUUAUUGGGUGUAAAGGGCGUGUAGGCGGGAGCGCAAGUCAGAUGUGAAAACUCAGGGCUCAACCCUGAGCCUGCAUUUGAAACUGUGUUUCUUGAGUGCUGGAGAGGCAAUCGGAAUUCUGCGUGUAGCGGUGAAAUGCGUAGAUAUACGGAGGAACACCAGUGGCGAAGGCGGAUUGCUGGACAGUAACUGACGCUGAGGCGCGAAAGCGUGGGGGGCAAACAGG
rnacentral:rRNA from 1 species